rnacentral:rRNA from 1 species
GUAGGUGGCAAGCGUUGUCCGGAAUUAUUGGGGCGUAAAGCGCGCGCAGGUGGUUCUUUAAGUCUGAUGUGAAAGCCCCCCGGGCUCAACCGGGGGAGGGUCAUUGGAAACUGGGGAACUUGAGUGCAGGAGAGGAAAGUGGAAUUCCACGUGUAGCGGUGAAAUGCGUAGAUAUGUGGAGGAACACCAGUGGCGAAGGCGACUUUCUGGCCUGUAACUGACACUGAGACGCGAAAGCGUGGGGAGCAAACAGGAUUAGAUACCCUGGUAGUCCACGCCGUAAACGAUGAGUGCUAAGUGUUGGGGGGUUUCCGCCCCUCAGUGCUGCAGCUAACGCAUUAAGCACUCCGCCUGGGGAGUACGGUCGCAAAGACUGA